rnacentral:lncRNA from 10 species
AUUAAUAGCAAGCAAUAUGCUUGGAUUAGAGGUCCGAUUUCCACUUAAAUGCAUUUUCUUCUCUUCUUGGCAAUGAAGUCAUUUGCGGAGAUCUGAAAGUGGGGAAGACUGUGUUAGGCUCAGAGUAACAAUUCUGAAAUAGAUCAUUUAUAUUUAUACAUGUGAUUGCAGAACAUACUGUCUUCAUCCAUUCGCAUAAGCAUGUAAUGUUUUAAGAAUGCAUCCCAGAUGGCCAGAGAGAGUUUAAAUUUAAAAACGUUUCCUGGGUUCUUCCCCACAUCUCAUCUUGCAUCCACUUGACCUCAAAUAUACACUUUUCUUAUGGACACAGAGCAAAUGACAGUGAUUAUGUGAUAAAUACUGAUGAAUUCUUGGAGGCAAGAGAAGGACUCAUGUUUGUUCAAGGCCAACUCUGUACCCAGGAUUCAGCUAAAGCACCUCUAUAUGGUAUCUCAUUUAAACAGUAAAACAAGUAACAAAUCUGCUUUUGUCAAUGAGAAGGUCCAGGAUUCUACUAAUGAUCUGCAGAAAGGCAGCGAGGGAACAGUUAGUGAGGAACAGGGAGGAAAGCUGUUUUUCAUGAGAGGGUUCUUUUCUUUGGAAUAGAACUAUGGGAUCUUGGGUAGGUGUGGUGGCUCAUGCCUGUAAUCCCAGCACUUUGGGAGGCUGAGGUGGGCAGAUCACUUGAGGCCAGGAGUUUGAGACCAGCCUGGCCAACAUGGUGAAACCCCGUCUCUACUAAAAAUACAAAAAUUAGCUGGGUGUGGUAGCGCACACUUGUAACCCCAGCUACUUGGAAGGCUGAGGCACGAGAGUCACUUGAACCCCAGAAGGUGGAGAUUGCUGUGAGCUGAGAUCGUGCCACUGCACUCCAGCCUGGGGAACAGGGUGAGACUCUGUCUCAAAAACAAAAACUCUGGGAUCUUAGUGCAACUCAAGAUGGGAACCCUAAUAAUGACAGAGUCCUUGCAGGUUGGAGCAAAGUAAAUUGAAAGAAAAACUAAAACAUAUGCUGAUUGUUUAAAAAUAGAUACAGAGACUAAAAAUAAGAGUCCAAGCUGGAAGGUGUUUCCAUGUAAAAUAACCUCUCUUGAGGUUUCCUUUAACCUGAUCAUAGAGGCUGGGGGACAGAAGGAAGUGAGCUCACUCAUGCAGCCUUAACUCCAGUGCCCAAGUCCACAGCGAGGGCCCAGCACUUCACGGUUUCCAAGCACUCCCACCUGGGCCAGCUCACGCCAUCUCAUGGCCAACCUCAGAGGUGGGCAAUGAUGAAUCCCCAUUCUCCAGAUGAAGAAAACAGGGGCUGAAGGGAGUUAAACCUGGAGAUCUUAAAUCUUUGAAUUACCAAGUUCAAAAAAAUCCCUUUCCCCACCCCUUAGUAGAAUAUGGAUGGAUAAAUGUGCACUUAAAAUCAUUCACUAAAAGCAAACCUGGGAGGAAUUCUGUCCCUUGGUGGCUGUGUAGCCUUGGGCAAGUCAAAGCCCUUCCUUCUCUGUGCUUUGGUUUUCUCUUCUGUAAAAUGGAAUGAUCAUGUCAUCCGCCUCCCAAGGAUGCUGAGGGUUAAAUGAGUAACACAGGACCAGUACCUGGCCCAACGGCCAUGGGGGUUAUUCUUAGAACAGAACGACUUGUGACUGUUAUUAGAACAUUAAUUGCUCUGGCCCAACGCUGAUGCUGUUUUUAGAAGCCAGACUGGCAGACAGCAUUCUGUGCAAAAAUGGUUCCAGAAUCUCCCCCUCCCCCAUCAUAGUGGUGCUUCCUGCCCUGUCCCCAGUGUCAGACAAACCUUUUUCUGGUUGGUUCAGCGUUAAUCCCUCUCCCUGUCCUUGAUCCAGAGCUAGAAAACUAAGCCUUGAUUCUAUAAAUAGCACCCCCAGUCUGUCACCAUGGAAACCUCUGAUGGGGCUGGGUCAGCCCACCCUAGUGGACAUGUCUACCCCAGGGAGGCUCUGGAAGGACAGAAAAGUGGCUUUUCAGAAAAGUGGCUCCGGGGCCACCCAGAAGCAGCGGGAACCCCCAGUGAAGUCCACAGGCUUACCUGGAAAUCACGAGCUUCCUAAGUGGGAGGAGGUGCUGUUCUGGUUCACCUGGAGAAAGACAAUACACAGAAGAAGGGGUCACGGCCAGGUGAGGGAUGCCUUGCUGUAUUGAGGGUCACCCCUCAGCAUCACUGAGUCAUGCACAUGCUUAUUCACGUAGUAUUUACUGUACAUCUACUAUGUGCCAGGUGCUGGGAUAGCGUGGUGAGCGGGACAGACCCAAACCUAGGAUCACGGAACUUACGUUCGAGUUGAAGAAAAAGCCUACUGAACACGCACAGAUGCAAGAAAAUGUCAAACUUGGGCAAUAUGACAGGCUGCUAUGAGUGAUCAGUAUCUGUGCUACUUCAAAAACGGUGGCCAGGAAAGGACUCUACAAGAUGGCAUUUCAGCUGUGGUAUAAUAAUAAAUAUUUGUUCAUUGUCCCCAGUUCCUGGCACAUAGCUCCCCAAACUCUUGGAAUCUCUGAAGGAAUAAGGGUAUCUUGGCCGGGCGCCAUGGCUCAUGGCUGUAAUCCCAGCGCUUUGGGAGGCCGAGGAGGGUGGAUCACCUGAGGUCAGGAGUUUGAGACCAGCCUGGCCAACAUGGCAAAACUCUGUCUCUACUAAAAUACAAAAAUUAGCCGGGUGUGGUGGCGGGCACCUGUAAUCCUAGCUACUCAGGAGGCUGAGGCAGGAGAAUCGCUUGAACCCGGGAGGCAGAGGUUGCAGUGAGCCAAGAUCAUGCCACUGCACUCCAGCCUGGGUGACAGAGGGAGACUAGGUAUCAAAAAAACAAAAACAAAAACAAAAAAAAAACAAAACGUAUCUUUUGCAUGCUAAUGACAUGACUAAUGGCUGGGGGUCCCUAGAUAGCUUCAGGAUUAGGGGAAGGGGUCUCAGAAAG